UUUUGUAAGGACUUUCAUCAAGUGAGCAAUGCAACAUUUCCUCGUUAUGUACUCCAACUUAAAGCAAGAGUCGAACUACAUACCUUCUGCGAUGCUAGUCUUCAGGCCUAUGGCUCUUGUGCUUAUGUGCGGUCAUCGAAGAACAAUGCUGUUAAAGGUUAGAGUCGCCCCACUAAAGACCCUCACUGUGUCUAAGCUUGAGUUAUGCGCUGCAUUUCUGCUUGCGAACUUGAUAAGCGAAAUAA